rnacentral:rRNA from 1 species
UAGGGAAUUUUCGUCAAUGGGCGCAAGCCUGAACGAGCGAUGCCGCGUGAGUGAAGAAGGCCUUCGGUCGUAAAGCUCUGUUGCGGGGGAAAAAAGGGACAGCAUCAGGAAAUGGGUGCUGACUGAUGGUGCCCCGCCAGAAAGUCACGGCUAACUACGUGCCAGCAGCCGCGUAAUACAUAGCU